UACGUAGGGUCCGAGCGUUGUCCGGAAUUAUUGGGCGUAAAGGGCUCGUAGGCGGUUUGUCACGUCGGGCGUGAAAACUCAGGGCUCAACCCUGAGCGUGCGUUCGAUACGGGCAGACUAGAGGUAUGCAGGGGAGAACGGAAUUCCUGGUGUAGCGGCGGAAUGCGCAGAUAUCAGGAGGAACACCGGCGGCGAAGGCGGUUCUCUGGGCAUUACCUGACGCUGAGGAGCGAAAGCAUGGGGAGCGAACAGG
rnacentral:rRNA from 1 species